AAGAAAACAAAGAAACCCGCUUCCUGCAGCGAUGUUACAAAAAGCCAUUAAAAAAACCUUCCUAAGUGAAACCUAGUUUUCACCAGUAGAUGUGGGUCUCAGCUUCAUGCUCCAGCUGCCAUGCCUGUCUGCUGUCAUGCCUUCCCACCACGAUGGUGAUGGACUCUGAGUCCUCUGGAACUUACGCCCUAAUACAGUCCUCCUUCUUUUGUGUGGAUUCCAGAAGAGGGCAGCAGACCCCUAGAAAUGGAGUUAGAAGUGGCUGUGGGCUGCUUGAUAUAAGUGCUGGGAACCAAAAUCUGACCCUCAGCAGGAACAUGCUGGGACCCCAAGCACUCUCCACUGCAGCUGAGAGCUCCAGUCUCCUGGGGAUGCUGAGGAUUGUCCCUUUGAGGGUCUCAGUUCAUUUUAUACAACAAGCCAGCAACACCUUUCUCUGUUUCCUGGUCCAUGGAGAUGUGAAGAUUCCCAGCUGAAUGCCUCUGUCUGUGAAUGCUAUCAUGUCUGCACCACCAUGAAGGAUGUACCCUCAUUGAGUCACAAUAAACCUGUCCUUC